AUGAAUGCGGUCAACCACUUCUCGAGCUUGCACACCUCAAACCUCCAUUGGCUCAACUCGGCGAACAUUUCCCUCAUUCCUAAGAAAGACGGGGCGGAGUGCAUCUCUGAUUUCUGCCCCAUUAGUCUUAUCCAUGCCAUUACAAAGAUUAUAGCUAAGAUGAUGGCUUCGCGUCUUGCUCCACACAUGCAAAGUCUUGUCUCAAAUGCGCAAAGCGCUUUCAUCAAGAAGAGGAGCAUCCAUGAUAAUUUCAUGUAUGCGAGAGGUUUGGCGAGAAAGUUGCAUCGCAACAGGACCCCAACUAUGCUCUUCAAGCUUGAUAUCAAGAAAUCUUUUGACUCUGUGAGAUGGGACUUCCUCUUGGAUCUUUUAAGGCAUCUGGGCUUUCCAAGUAGAUUUUGCGACUGGGUUUCCUCCUUCCUUUCCACGACAUUGUCGAGGGUUUUGAUCAAUGGUGUGUUGGGUGAUCCGUUGAAGCAUGGCCGUGGUCUCAGGCAAGGGGACCCGCUAUCCCCCCUGUUGUUCGUUUUGGCGAUUGAUCCUCUACACUACCUUCUCAACAAAGCCACGACCCAAGGGCACCUCUGA
rnacentral:rRNA from 1 species